rnacentral:rRNA from 1 species
CAGUAGGGAGGAAGGUAGUGUAGUUAACACCUGCAUUUAACUUUCGUACGUUUACCUACAGAAGAAGCACCGGCUAACUCCGUGCCAGCAGCCGCGGUAAUACGGAGGGUGCGAGCGUUAAUCGGAAUUACUGGGCGUAAAAGCGCAUGCAGGCGGCCUGUUAAGUCAGAUGUGAAAAAGCCCGGGCUUAAACCUCGGAAAUUGCAUUUGAAAAACUGGCAGGCUAGAGUCUUGUAGAGGGGGUAGAAUUUCAGGUGUAGCGGUGAAAAUGCGUAGAGAUCUGAAGGAAUACCAGUGGCGAAGGCGGCCCCCUGGACAAAGACUGACGCUCAGAUGCGAAAAGCGUGGGGAGCAAACAGGAUUAGAUACCCUGGUAG